rnacentral:rRNA from 1 species
CACGUAGGGGACGAGCGUUGUCCGGAUUCAUUGGGCGUAAAGCGCGCGUAGGCGGCUCGGAAAGUCGGUCGUGAAAUGCCGGGGCUCAACCCCGGGACUGCGUCCGAUACUCUCGAGCUGGAGGCAGGUAGGGGAGAUCGGAAUUCCUGGUGUAGCGGUGAAAUGCGCAGAUAUCAGGAGGAACACCGGUGGCGAAGGCGGAUCUCUGGGCCGAUAUCGACGCUGAGGAGCGAAAGCGUGGGGAGCGAACAGG